rnacentral:rRNA from 1 species
UACGGGGGGAGCAAGCGUUGUUCGGAUUUACUGGGCGUAAAGGGCGGGUAGGCGGCCACCGCAAGUCGACUGUGAAAUCUCCGGGCUUAACCCGGAAAGGUCAGCCGAUACUGCGGGGCUAGAGUGCAGAAGGGGCAACUGGAAUUCUCGGUGUAGCGGUGAAAUGCGUAGAUAUACGGAGGAACACCUGCGGCGAAGGCGGGUAGCUGGGCCAACACUGACGCUGAGACGCGAAAGCUAGGGGAGCAAACGGG